AGGAAUCACAAAUGGCAGCAGUGGGGAAGGAGGGAAGAGGUCAUGGAGCACGGUUUGGCCCCAUCCUGGCUCCUGGGAUGAACCAGUGUGGAAUCCCCAUGGGAAACAGAAGAAAUGGCUGGUAGGGCAUCGUGCGUCUGCAGCCAGAGCCGCUCCUGGAGGACGAGGAUGACGAGGGUUGACGGCGAUGAGCCGUGAUGGCGCGGGAAAGCUUUGGCAUUGUGCAGCGGGAGCGAUGGGAAAGGCUGGCCAAGGGAGGCACCGCUUUCUGCAACAGCCUUCAAAGAGUUUCCUUAAGUGUUGCUGCUCUUCAGGGCUUCCUCCUCCAAGGAAAAAAAAAAAAGUAGGGAAAAAAGGAGAUGAGGAAGAGCAAUCUCUGGGUGCGGGAUGAAAGCGGCCUGUCUUGACUAUUUACCCAGCAAUUAUAAGUAAAUCGGUGGUGCCUAACGGGGCCGGUUGCCAUAGUGACGAUGGGAUGGAAGGACCAGCAUUUGGUCCUGGCUGCAGCCAAUCAGGCUGGGAAGCCCAAGCUGCAAUAUAAAGUAAAGAUUCCCAUCUUCCAGCCACGCACUUGCCAAGAAAGGGAAAUAGGUUCAAGAGUCUGGGGAAAAAAAGUGCUGCGGCCGGCAGCGAGCAGGGCGGCUGCUCCCGUCAUGGCGGACUGCGAAUGCCCGGGCAGAGCGGCACUUCUGGGAUGCAUGUGGACGGCAUCCCACCCCUGGCACCCCGAGAGGAGCAGCGAGCCUGGUGUUCUGGAGCAUGGAGAGGCAGGAGUGCAGGGCACAGGCCCGGGCUGGACCCCAAAGGUGGGUGCAGGAAGGUGUGUGGGGUGUCCCUGGGGGGUGCUCACCUUCACUGGCUGGGGAUGAGGAGCACUGGCCAUUGGUGCUGCUGGCUGAGCUCCUGUGCCAGUGCUUUUGGUAGAGAAGGUUGAUCAAAACCAGGACAGCUGUAGGGAUGUGGCAGGGAUCUGUCAGAGUCCUGGAUGUGGCAGGAUCUCAGAUCUAACAGGGGUCCAUGAGGGUCUCUUUGCUCUGCCAGAUAUGGGAACCUUUCCCCAAAAGCAGCAGAGGCCAGGUGGGGAGGGCUGGGGGACCCACCAAGGGCCUGGCACCCCUAUCAGUUCAUACACUUCUAUGCCACAGCCCUGAGCUGGGACAGGAGCCCAGGGCUUAUCUGGGGUGGGACAGGAGUGAGAAGAAAAGCCCAUGUGAACGAACUGGGCUUUGCCCAGCCAGGGCAGAGGAACAUUAGCUGAUAUGGUCACUGGCUGUUACUGGGACUAUGAAUGUGCAAACCAGGCAGAGGAGAGUGGCCAUGGGCUGCUGUGACUCUCCCUGGGCUGGUUGGAAAGGAGGAGAAGGAGGAGGACGGGGAAAGCUUUGACCAAAACUUCAGUCCUGAGCCCAAAACAUGAGGCUAGAGGUGGCUGACAGCCAGAAUGGAGCUGGAGUGAUCUGAGGGCUGGUGGUAGUGAGGUCACAGAAGUGUGGGAAGACAAAUAAAAGUCCAUGUCAAGCUCCUCUGUGAGGAGGG
rnacentral:lncRNA from 1 species